AGAGCAUAGGGUGAAUGACUUGGCACCGAGAGCCGAUGAAGGACGGGGUAAGCGCCGAAAUGCUUCGGGGAGUCGCAAACAGGCUUUGAUCCGGAGAUAUCCGAAUGGGGAAACCCACCUAGGGCAAACCCUAGGUAUCAUCUACUCAAUAAAUAGGUAGAUGAAGGGACACCAGGGGAACUGAAACAUCUAAGUACCCUGAGGAAAAGAAAGAAAACAAUCGAUUCCCUAAGUAGCGGCGAGCGAACGGGGAAGAGCCCAAACCUAUAGGGUUUACUCUAUAGGGGUUGAGGACCGGCAUAAAGGAAGAGACAUUGUAGUCGAAGAGGUCUGGAAAGAUCCACCACAGAAGGUGAUAGUCCUGUAGAUGAAACAGUUGAUCUCCAAGCCGAGAUCCAGAGUACCACGGGACACGAGAAAUCCUGUGGGAAGCAGGGAGGACCACCUCCCAAGGCUAAAUACUACUCGGUGACCGAUAGCGAAGCAGUACCGUGAGGGAAAGUUGAAAAGAACCCCGGGAGGGGAGUGAAAUAGAAUCUGAAACCCUAUGUUUACAAGCAGUGGAAGCACUUUAUAUGUGCGACCGCGUACUUUUUGUAGAACGGGCCAGCGAGUUACGAUAUGUAGCAAGGUUAAGCUGUUAAGCAGUGGAGCCGCAGGGAAACCAAGUCUAAAUAGGGCGAAUAGUUGCAUGUCGUAGACCCGAAACCGAGUGAUCUACCCAUGGGCAGAGUGAAACGGAAGUAAAAUUUCGUGGAGGCUCGAACCGCUUAGUGCUUAAAAACUAUCGGAUGACCUGUGGGUAGGGGUGAAAUUCCAAUCGAACUCGGAUAUAGCUGGUUCUCCUCGAAAUAGCUUUAGGGCUAGCCUCAAGAUAAGUGACGUGGGGGUAGAGCACUGAAUGGUCAAGGGACACAUAGUGUUACCAAAACCUAUCAAACUCCGAAUACCAUAGUCAUGUUUCUUGGGAGUCAGACUACGGGAGAUAAGUUUCGUGGUCAAAAGGGAAACAGCCCAGAUCACCAGCUAAGGUCCCUAAGUACAGGUUAAGUGGGAAAGGAUGUAAGGUUACACAGACAACCAGGAUGUUGGCUUAGAAGCAGCCACUCAUUCAAAGAGUGCGUAAUAGCUCACUGGUCGAGUGACCUUGCGCCGAAGAUUACCGGGGCUAAAACCUGUCACCGAAGCUGUGGGAUGCGAAAGCAUCGGUAGAGGAGCAUUCUGUAUUGGGUAGAAGCUACACCGAAAGGAGUGGUGGACUAUACAGAAGAGAGAAUGCUGGCAUAAGUAGCGAAAAGGUGGGUGAGAAUCCCACCCGUCGAAAGCCUAAGGUUUCCUGAGGAAGGCUCGUCCUCUCAGGGUUAGUCGGGGCCUAAGCUGAGGCCGAAAGGCGUAAGCGAUGGACAACAGGUUGAAAAUCCUGUACUGCCUACAUGCGUUUGAGAAAUGGGGUGACGCAGGAGGAUAGGUUGUGCGCACCGUUGGUAGAGUGCGUCUAAGCUAGUAGAGAGCUUCUAUAGGCAAAUCCGUAGAAGAGUCUCAAGGAGUGAUGGGGAGCGAAAUUUAAGUAGCGAAGUAACCAAAUCCACACUGCCAAGAAAAGCCUCUAUCGAGUAUGUAGGUACCCGUACCGCAAACCGACACAGGUAGGCGAGGAGAAAAUCCUAAGACGCGCGGAAGAACUCUUGUUAAGGAACUCGGCAAAAUAGCCCCGUAACUUCGGGAUAAGGGGUGCCAGUUAAAGUGAAGCCUAUACGGCGUAAGCGUUGACUGGCCGCAGUGAAUGGGCCCAAGCGACUGUUUACCAAAAACACAGGUCUCUGCUAAAUCGAAAGAUGAAGUAUAGGGGCUGACACCUGCCCGGUGCUGGAAGGUUAAGGGGAAAUGUUAGCGCAAGCGAAGCACAGAACUUAAGCCCCAGUAAACGGCGGCCGUAACUAUAACGGUCCUAAGGUAGCGAAAUUCCUUGUCGGGUAAGUUCCGACCCGCACGAAAGGUGUAACGACUUGGGCACUGUCUCAACAAGAGAUCCGGUGAAAUUGUAGUACUCGUGAAGAUGCGAGUUACCCGCGACAGGACGGAAAGACCCCAUGGAGCUUUACUGCAGGCUGACAUUGGAUUUUGGUAUUACAUGUACAGGAUAGGUGGGAGACUUAGAAACCAGGGCGCCAGUUUUGGUGGAGUCAACCUUGGGAUACCACUCUUGUGAUACUGAAAUUCUAACCAGGAGCUGUGAAACCAGCUUUGGGACACUGUCAGUUGGGCAGUUUGACUGGGGCGGUCGCCUCCUAAAGAGUAACGGAGGCGCUCAAAGGUUCCCUCAGCACGGUCGGAAAUCGUGCAAAGAGUGUAAAGGCAGAAGGGAGCUUGACUGCGACACCAACAAGUGAAGCAGAAACGAAAGUUGGACUUAGUGAUCCGGUGGCGCCAAGUGGAAGGGCCAUCGCUCAACGGAUAAAAGCUACCCUGGGGAUAACAGGCUUAUCUCCCCCAAGAGUCCACAUCGACGGGGAGGUUUGGCA
rnacentral:rRNA from 1 species